rnacentral:rRNA from 1 species
UUUUAAAUGGCCGCAGUAUUUUGACUGUGCAAAGGUAGCAUAAUCAUUAGUUUUUUAAUUAAAAGCUUGUAUGAAAGGCUGGACGAGGUAAAACCUGUCUCUAUUUAAAUUAAAAUAGAAUUUAACUUUUAAGUUAAAAGGCUUAAAUAUUAUUAAAAGACGAGAAGACCCUAUAGAUCUUUAUAAUUUAUUAAAUUAAAUUAAUUUAGAAAUAUUAAUGUUUUAUUUGAUUAAAUUAUUUUAUUGGGGUAAUAAAAAGAUUGAAUUAAUUCUUUUUUGUAAUAAACAUUAAUUUAUGAAUAUUAAUGAUCCAGUUUUACUGAUUAUAAGAUUAAGUUACCUUAGGGAUAACAGCGUAAUUUUUUUAGAGAGUUCAUAUCGAUAAAAAAGUUUGCGACCUCGAUGUUGGAUUAAAGAUUAUUUUAGGUGUAGAAGCUUAAUAAUUUUGGUCUGUUCGACCAUUAAAUCUUUACAUGAUCUGAGUUCAGACCGGCGUAAGCCAGGUCGGUUUCUAUCUUUAAUAAAAUAAAAUAUUUUAGUACGAAAGGACCAAAUAUUUGAUAUAUUUAUAUUUAAUUUAUUGAAUAUUA